AUGGGGUGUCAGGAAGGGCAGAGGGAGAGAGACGGAGAGGGAAAAAACGAGGAAAAGGUAGCAGGAGAGAUGAAAUGGGACAGAGAGAUGGGGACAGACAGAGAACCAGAGGACAAAGGCAGGGAAAGGUGGGGGUGGGGUGGGGGGCGGGGGCGGCGAGAGAGGGAGAAAGGGCCCGAGGAGGAGCAGGAGAGAGACAGGGAGAGACCCCAGGCCAGAAGGUCGGACCCGGAACCCCAAAGAACGCCUCCCCUCACGUCGCUGCUCCCUCCGGGGCAAGGACACAGGCGGGCAGAGCUGGCCACGCAGGGGAGCCGGCGAACCCCGCAACAGGCAGGAACCCCACCUGCAACAUCCUGGGAACAAACCCAGGGGCUCCGCACGCAGCGACUCCUCAUCUGUCUUCCUGAAGCCCAGCGGGUUCCUUCCGCAGCCCCCAACCCCCGCCCCCAAUCUGCUCCACCUAUGAUGCCCACCGGCUUUUGUGGGGUGAGAAAACCAGGGAGGGGCCUGUGCUUCUGCCAGGGCACCAUCGCCCUCGUGACAACGUCGGCCUCGGGGUCCUUCGCAGCACGUGUCCCAGGACUCUCUGCCCUGGAGCGACCUCCUCCCUGGCAGAGGCUCUGCCCGACUCACCUGCAAGGAUCCGGAGUCAGGUAACGGGAUGCCGGCAUCUCUGCACGGUCCUUGACGCCAUCUCCACAGGUGAAUCCCAUUAAGUGGUGCCCCCCCACAUGCGACCCAAUUUCUCUGUUCCCGGCUUUCCUGUCUGGCUCUGCGACUCCCUCCCUAACAGCCGAAAGUGGCUCUUUCCCUCUGUCCACAAACAGAGCCACCCAUGCCCCGUGUCUCAGCUCUCUCUUGAACCCCGACCGUCCCCACCCAGCCCACAUCCACGCUUUCCCAAAGCCUAAAAGGGGUCCCCCUGACCUGCACGUGCCCCAAAGAUCCAUUCUCUCAAGCACCAAGAGAGCAGGGGCCUUUCCAAAGCAUUCACAACUCCAAGCCAAGAGCAGGACGCCCCACUCCCUGCCCAACGCAAACACAAACAAUCAAUCAAACAUACACACCUGUCGUUUUUUAAAGCAAGAGCAAAAAAGACGACACAUCCUGAAAAUGCUCUGGUGAGGGAUCCUCUUAAAACAUUUUCACCAAUAAUUACUUUCCUCUCCCGUGGCUUCCUAAGGAACCAUCUUGGAAGUCUUCCAGGAGGCCUGGUGGCUUUCCU
rnacentral:lncRNA from 1 species